UCAGCUUAACUACAGAAAGCCAAAAGAAAACAGAAGGCAAAACCCAAAACAAAUGGACCCCUCUUAGGCAUGACAUUUUGCAUAAGCUGGUAUUAGAAGAAUGAAUCACAAAAUAUCAACAAAAUCACUCACAAAUUGUAUACAGCAAAAGCAGUUCCAGGCUUUCCUACUCCUCCGGUCCUAAUACAGUUACCAACCACUGCAUUUUUUUCUGCAUGACUUGGCAAUGUUGUCUUUGUUGGCUCUUCCCUGUGUGGAGGUAUCAGGGUCAGGCUUACUUAUUCCAUUUGCCAGAAGAGAAAACAAGCCACAAAAGACAGAGUGACUGCCCAGGGUCAUCCCUCAGGCUGACACAGCUUUGGAAAUAAAUAUGAGUUUCCUGAAUCCCAGCCCAAUGUUCUGUCCUCAGCAAUAAAUGAAUGGUCAUCUUAACCACCAGAGGACAACAUUACCCAAUCACUUGCAUGUCUCUGAAACUGAAGGCCCUCUGGAAAACACAAGGUAUUUGCAUUUCAGUGGUCUCUGCAGUGUCUGACACUUCCAGUGUUUGUAAAGUCAUUUUUUAAUGAAAUGUAGUGAUUACCUAGACAGAAAUGGAUUACCUCCAUAAUUAGUUGUAACAAAAUUUACCACUCAGAUGCUUUCCUACAUAUUAAUAUGGUUUUGAAACUUUCACUCUGGAGACUUGUUCUUGAUAGGUUUGGUAUCUAGUCAAUAUUUUAUAGGCAAGAUUUUAAUUCAAUAAUACUUUAAGUGCAACAACAAAUUUGACAAAUGAAGCAUCCGUGUGAAAUAUACAAAUUAAAUUCUACAUGGAGAAGGCAAAUCUGAGGCUGUCUGAGCAGAGAUUAUAACAGCAGUAUGAUUUUAGACAUAACACUGAUGAAACUUUUGGAAAAUAUCCUUCCUUUCUUCAUGAGAAAGUAACUUGUAGGCAGAUGUCUACACAUCUUUAAAGUCUGGAGACUCGAUUUCUUUACAGAGUAAUUACUAGAUAACAAAAUUUUAAUCACUGUCUGGACCAUUAAACUUUGGUAAAGGUGACUGAAAUGAUCUCAGGGGAACCAAGAGCUUGUUUAGAACAGGGAUAUUAAGCAGCAGUAAUGAAGUAACACAGCGGGAGUGUGAGUCCCAAGAGAAAAUAUGUUACAAUGACAAUGUUUAUUACACAUCUCAAUUACUUUGUACUAUGCACUUCAGCUUUCUGCAAUAGAAAUCUACCACUGCUUCAGAUCUCCAGAAGCCUGAAGCGCUACAGAGGUGUCCUGAGUGCCUUCUCUGGUCCUGAGACCAGGUGGCACAGUCUAGUCAUAUCCAUACUGAA